rnacentral:rRNA from 1 species
GGUACCUGGCGGCGUGCCUAUACAUGCAAGUCGAGCGAACAGACGAGGAGCUUGCUCCUCUGACGUUAGCGGCGGACGGGUGAGUAACACGUGGAUAACCUACCUAUAAGACUGGGAUAACUUCGGGAAACCGGAGCUAAUACCGGAUAAUAUGUUGAACCGCAUGGUUCAAUAGUGAAAGACGGUUUUGCUGUCACUUAUAGAUGGAUCCGCGCCGCAUUAGCUAGUUGGUAAGGUAACGGCUUACCAAGGCAACGAUGCGUAGCCGACCUGAGAGGGUGAUCGGCCACACUGGAACUGAGACACGGUCCAGACUCCUACGGGAGGCAGCAGUAGGGAAUCUUCCGCAAUGGGCGAAAGCCUGACGGAGCAACGCCGCGUGAGUGAUGAAGGUCUUCGGAUCGUAAAACUCUGUUAUUAGGGAAGAACAAAUGUGUAAGUAACUAUGCACGUCUUGACGGUACCUAAUCAGAAAGCCACGGCUAACUACGUGCCAGCAGCCGCGGUAAUACGUAGGUGGCAAGCGUUAUCCGGAAUUAUUGGGCGUAAAGCGCGCGUAGGCGGUUUUUUAAGUCUGAUGUGAAAGCCCACGGCUCAACCGUGGAGGGUCAUUGGAAACUGGAAAACUUGAGUGCAGAAGAGGAAAGUGGAAUUCCAUGUGUAGCGGUGAAUGCGCAGAGAUAUGGAGGAACACCAGUGGCGAAGGCGACUUUCUGUUCUGUAACUGACGCUGAUGUGCGGAAGCGUGGGGAUCAACAGGACUAUAUACCCUGGUAUCCCCGCCG